rnacentral:lncRNA from 1 species
AGCGUGAGCCCCUUGCCUCACACCGGCCCCUCCCACGCUGAGAGAGGUCAGUGUGAGCCCUUGCCUCACACCGGCCCCUCCCACGCGGACAGAGGUCAGCGUGAGCCCCUUGCCUCACACCGGCCCCUCCCACGCUGAGAGAGGUCAGUGUGAGCCCUUGCCUCACACCGGCCCCUCCCACGCGGACAGAGGUCAGCGUGAGCCCCUUGCCUCACACCGGCCCCUCCCACGCUGAGAGAGGUCAGUGUGAGCCCUUGCCUCACACCGGCCCCUCCCACGCGGACAGAGGUCAGCGUGAGCCCCUUGCCUCACACCGGCCCCUCCCACGCUGAGAGAGGUCAGCCCGAGCCCCUUGCCUCACACCGGCCCCUCCCACGCUGAGAGAGGUCAGCGUGAGCCCCUUAGGUCAGCCCGAGCCCCUUGCCUCACACCGGCCCCUCCCACGCUGAGAGAGGUGUGAGCCCCUUGUCUCACACCGGCCCCUCCCACGCGGACAGAGGUCAGCGUGAGCCCCUUGCCUCACACCGGCCCCUCCCACGCUGAGAGAGGUCAGUGUGAGCCCUUGCCUCACACCGGCCCCUCCCACGCGGACAGAGGUCAGCGUGAGCCCCUUGCCUCACACCGGCCCCUCCCACGCUGAGAGAGGUCGGUGUGAGCCCUUGCCUCACACCGGCCCCUCCCACGCGGACAGAGGUCAGCGUGAGCCCCUUGCCUCACCCCGGCCCCUCCCACGCUGAGAGAGGUCAGUGUGAGCCCUUGCCUCACACCGGCCCCUCCCACGCGGACAGAGGUCAGCGUGAGCCCCUUGCCUCACCCCGGCCCCUCCCACGCUGAGAGAGGUCAGUGUGAGCCCUUGCCUCACACCGGCCCCUCCCACGCGGACAGAGGUCAGCGUGAGCCCCUUGCCUCACACCGGCCCCUCCCACGCUGAGAGAGGUCAGUGUGAGCCCUUGCCUCACACCGGCCCCUCCCACGCGGACAGAGGUCAGCGUGACCCCCUGCC